GACGAACGCUGGCGGCGUGCUUAACACAUGCAAGUGGUGCGACGAACCAGGGCUUGCCCUGGGGCCAAGCCGCGAACGGGUGAGUAACACGUGGGUGACCUGCCCCGAUGACCGGGACAACCCGGGGAAACUCGGGCUAAUACCGGAUGUGGCACUCAGGCACAAGCCUGUGUGCUAAAGGAAGCUUCGGCCUCCGCAUUGGGAGGGGCCCGCGGCCCAUUAGCUUGUUGGUGGGGUGACGGCCUACCAAGGCGACGAUGGGUAGCUGGUCUGAGAGGACGAUCAGCCACACUGGGACUGAGACACGGCCCAGACUCCUACGGGAGGCAGCAGUGGGGAAUCUUGCGCAAUGCGCGAAAGCGUGACGCAGCAACGCCGCGUGAGGGAAGAAGGCCUCGGGUUGUAAACCUCUUUCAGGAGGGACGAAGGCUCACCGGUGAAUAGCCGUGUGGGUUGACGGUACCUCCAGAAGAAGCUCCGGCUAACUACGUGCCAGCAGCCGCGGUAAUACGUAGGGAGCAAGCGUUGUCCGAAUCAUUGGGCGUAAAGCGCGCGUAGGCGGCCCCAGUAAGUCCGCUGUAAAAGUCAAAGGCUCAACCUUUGAAAGCCGGUGGAAACUGCGGGGCUAGAGUCCGGAAGAGGCGAGUGGAAUUCCUGGUGUAGCGGUGGAAUGCGCAGAUAUCAGGAGGAACACCAAUAGCGAAGGCAGCUCGCUGGGACGGAACUGACGCUAAGGCGC
rnacentral:rRNA from 1 species